CUUUCGAUCCGGGUCACAGCUUCGAACAACAAAGAGCUCGAGCUUGCUGGCUAAAAAUAUAUAAAUAAUUUCAAUCCAUUACCUCGGUUGUCGUCGUCGUCAUCUUGGCAGUGUUCGUUCUGGUUCUAUCUAUUGAUGACAAGUGAGGGGCUUGCAAUGCCGUCGUGGGCGAGAUUGAGCUUGGACUUUUGAGAGCUUUGUGUUCGGCUGCCAGAGUAUAUCUAUGCUUCUCCAUCAAUUGGAUGAUUAGCUUGCAAGGAAAUCAAAUUUAAUGGAUGCUAAUCAAGUCCUGUGAUUUUUGUGAGAGCUCUGUUCACCAACCAGACUACAGAGACAUCAAUUGGAAACUUAAUGCAACCAUGUGGCAAUCUGUAUGGUAUUGGUGGAAGUGAUUCUAAGUUUCUCAUUUUUAAAUAUUGAUGUUGGCUGGUUUACCUUGUGACACUUAUGGCAGUAUGCAGCAUCUUUGAUUAGUGGUUCUUUCGAUGAAGCGCGGAUGCUUAAGAAUGUUGAAGCAUGUGAAUGGUUAACAGGCGCAAUUCCUAACCUUGAAGUGCCAAAUCUGAAUCCAUGCUAUGCUAACAUGCGAGCUGUUAAGGAAAAACGUGCUGACUUAGAAAAGUUAAAGGGCACUUUUGUUUGUGGGGCUUCAGGGAUCUUAAGGAAAUAUUUUGGCAGUUUAGUAGAUUUUAUGAUAAGCGACAAGAGUCAUUUUUCACAGUGAGGACAGUUGAAGAGGCCUGAUCAUGCAGAUCUGAGGUACAAAUGUCGGACCUAUGCAUGGCUUAAAUUUUGAUAUUUAAAUCUCAGUUGAUGCGGCAGGAUUUGUGAGUCAGUUAAUUGAUGAUUUGGAGUCCAGAAUUUCAAUGCAGUUUGGCAGGUUUGUUGAAGAAGCUUGCCAUCAGAUAGAGA